UUGUGUUAUAGAAGAACUAGCUUUUUCAAUAGAAAUGUCACGACAGUAAAUUAAUAGAUCAUCAGCAUACUGAAGAACAUUUACAUUAUUAAGUGAUGAUUUUAAAUCGUGUGUAUAAAUAUUAUACAAUAUUGGGCUAAGUACUGAUCCCUGGGGGAGGCCCUUUGAAACAAGUCGAGUAAUUGACUUCCUGUCAUCUAGUUUCAGGAUUAUGUAUCUUUCGGAAAGCAUGUUUAUGAUAAAAUUUGUUAAUAGCAGAGGUAUAUUAAGUUGUAAAAGCUUACUCUUUAAAAUACUUAUAACGACAUUAUCAUAGGCACAAUUUAUAUCUAAGAACGCAGCUAUUACUGAUUUAUUAUUUGAAAAUGAUAAUUGAAUAUCAGAAAUGAAUAUACUUAAGCUAUCAAUAGUACUUUUCCCACGUCUGAAACCGAAUUGGGAUUCACAUAAUAGACCGUUAUGCUCAACAAACCAUUCUAAACGAUUUUUUAUAAGAUGUUCUGUAAUUUUCAUCAAAACAGAAGUAAGUGCGAUUGGGCGAUAGGCAGAAUGGUCUGAAGAACACCUAUUAGGUUUCAGUACGGGAAUUAUUUCUUGACGUUUCCACGUGGAGGGGAUGUUACCAGAUGUCACUAUGGAAUUUAUAAGAGAUAAAUAAUAAAAUAAAGCAUCAUCAUCUAAAUGAGAGAUAAAGGAAUACGGAAUACCGUCCAGUCCAGGAGCAGAAUCCUUAACAUGAGACAAUACACCUUUUAGUUCAGUGAGAGAAAAUAUACUGUUUAAACCAAAACAGUUAUCAUUAUUUAUAUUUAUUACAGGGUAACCAAUUAUUAAGUCUUCAGGAACGAAAGGUGGAGCCAAUUUAUCUAAAAAGCUAUUAACUAAAUGAAAAGGGAUUGAUUUUGGAGAUGAAUCUUUGUAUGCAGAUCUAAACCUUCUUAUAUUUUGCCAUACCAGAGAUGGUUUGACAUCAGGUUGGAAAUGAUAAUAAUAGUGGGAAGUGAUCACUACCAAAAGUAGAUCGUAAUGGAUCCCAGGACAAAGAAGAAGCAAGAUUAGGUGUAGUGACUGUUAAAUCUGGAGCACUUGGGCCCUCGUCAGGAUGAGAACGUCGUGUAGGACGACCAUCAUUUAAUAUACACAAAUUCACUGAAUCAAAUAUAUCUAUUAAUGUGUUACCAUAACUAUUAGAAGAUAAGUAACCCCAGGAUUCAUGGCGACAGUUAAAAUCACCAAGGAAGAAAGGCUUCGGAAGAAUGGAAAUAAUAUCUUUAAUUUCAUUUAAGAUUGCAGAAGAAGGAUGAGGUAUAUAAAUAGAUACAUAACAGAUAUUUUCAACUAAAGCAGCAAUAAUAGAAAAAUCAUUACUGUGAGAAGGAAUAGAGAAGAGAGAAAAGGAAAGAGGGUGUUUCACAAGCAUGGCUACUCCACCAUGCCCAUCCACACGAUCUUCUCUGAGACAUGAAUAACCACGAAUCUUAAAUAAAGAUCCUGGUUUCAACCAUGUCUCUUGAAGAGCACAGAUAUAAGGUUUAUAUUUAUUUAAUAAAUAAAUAAGAUCACUUUUUUUAGGAGUGAUGCUUUGACAAUUCCAUUGAAGAA